GACGAAGGGGGCUAGCGUUGUUCGGAAUUACUGGGCGUAAAGCGAGUGUAGGCGGUUGCCCAAGUCAGACGUGAAAUCCCUCGGCUUAACCGGGGAACUGCGUCUGAUACUGGAUGGCUUGAGGUUGGGAGAGGGAUGCGGAAUUCCAGGUGUAGCGGUGAAAUGCGUAGAUAUCUGGAGGAACACCGGUGGCGAAGGCGGCAUCCUGGACCAAUUCUGACGCUGAGGAGCGAAAGCCAGGGGAGCAAACGGG
rnacentral:rRNA from 1 species